UCUCCUCCUUCCCGCAGCACUGCCGAAUAUUGGUCAAUGGGCGCGAGCCUGAACCAGCCAAGUAGCGUGAAGGAUGACUGCCUUACGGCCUCUAAACUUCUUUUAUAAAGGAAUAAAGCGAGGCACUAGCCCCUCUUGUACUUUCCUCUCUUCCUCCUUCUCUCCUCCAUCCCAUCCAGCAGCCGCGGUAACCCGGAGGAUCCGAGCGUUAUCCGGAUUUAUUGGGUUUAAAGGGAGCGUAGAUGGGUUGUUAAGUCAGUUGUGAAAGUUUGCGGCUCAGCCUUACAAUUGCAAUUGAUAC
rnacentral:rRNA from 1 species